rfam:Beta vulgaris subsp. vulgaris Bvchr2.sca001.con0352.1, whole genome shotgun sequence.
ACGACCUUACUUGAACAGGAUCUGUUCUAUAGGCUCGUACCUCUGAAUCCUUGAGUUCUAAGGAGACAGGAAACUAAGUCUGGUGGAUGACUUAUGACCAUGUUAUCAGAGCGUGAUUAACAGCUUCCACUUAUCUUCGGAUCACUUGGUGCGGUAGAGGAUCGUUCCCCAGCUCCCUGUGAGCUUGGGAUGAUUUCAUGGUUGUCUGACAGACU